GGCGAUUUGCCGGAGCGGGAUCCCGGGCUGCGAGAGGCGGAGCCUGGGGGCUGAGAGGUGUAGCUGCUCUGGGCCCCCGGCCGCGCGCCCCGAGAGAAAGGCACCGCCGACCCCCGCCCCUGCGCCUCGCCGAGACCCCAGGCUGCCUCCUCGCCCCCUUGCUACGCGCCCACGCCCCGAUGUGGGUGUGGAAAGCGCUAGCCUAAUUCCUGUAGCAACCGCUCGGUUUGCUCCCUCUCCCUGAAUUAACCACUCCUCCCUUGCCUGCUAAACCAGUUGGGACUAGAGCAAAAAGGGUUAAUUAAGUGGGGCACCCUCCCUUUCGCCCCUACCUCCAAUCCCCACCCCCACCCCACACCCGACCAGGGUUUGGGAUCUGCGUUUUGGUGGGAGGGAGAGGUUGCGGAAUGACCGCCAGGUUGGGCUGGGGAGGGGGGGUCCGCGGGCCAUCUUCCCCCCUAGUAGACUCUGACUCAUCAGGCAGACACUCCUCCCUUCCCUUCCCCCUUUCUCCUUGCACACCCCACCCCCGGCUGGAAGCUGCUCUCCUUUUAGGGCCUCGGAGACUGGGGAGAACUGGAAGCCGACCACCCCAGUGCCCCCCUAUCUGCAAGGGCUGAGGUUAUGUAUGUGGAAGGUGGAGACCAGAAAGAAGAAUUUGUUGAGCAUACACUGUCUUUUUGGAGGUGUUUCACAAUUGAGACCUCACUCUUCACGAGAACCUUUGGAAGAAGGUGCUAUUACCUCUACUGGAUAAGUAAGAAAAGCCUUUGGGGUGGUCCGGGAGGUGGUGCAGUGGAUAAAGCAUCAGACUCUCAAGCAUGAGGUCAUGAGUUCAAUCUCCGGCAGCAGAUGUACCACAGUGAUGUCUAGCUCUUUCUCUCUCCUCCAAUGUUUCUCAUUAAUAAAUAAAUAAAACCUUAAAAAA